AGAGAGAGAGGUGGCGGCCAUAUUUCAACGGCCUAGAUUUAUCUAAAUCGACCACAUCUCGAAAUCUCUACACUCCAUCUCCAUUUCUAAUACUUCUUCUCCGACCACCGCUAUGCGGCGAGGCAGGGCCACCGCGAGAGAUGCCCCACAGCAACAAGAGGUCAGGAAUCAGGGCAAAGAUGUGAGGUUCAGAGGCGUGAGGAAGAGACCUUGGGGCCGUUUCGCCGCCGAGAUCCGGGACCCGUGGAAGAAGACUCGGGUCUGGCUCGGCACCUUCGACUCCGCGGAGGAUGCAGCCCGAGCCUACGACGCCGCCGCUCGAUCCCUCCGCGGUCCCAAGGCCAAGACCAAUUUUCCGUUGUCAUCUCCGGCGGUUCCGUUGACCGUGCCGUUUCAACAACCGAGUCAAUAUCAGAUUCAAGAUCAGAAUCACAGUCAUCAGCAUCAGCCUCAGAGGCCAACCACGAGCGGUAUGAGCAGCACCGUGGAGUCCUUCAGCGGGCCCAGGCUCUCAAACCCGCCGUCGGCGCCGCCGCGGCCGCGCCUCCGGGCUCCUCCGGUAAACGAUUGCCAGAGCGAUUGCGACUCCUCCUCGUCGGUGAUUGACGAGUGCGACGGCGAUCUCACAUCUUCUUCCCGCAAACCCCUGCCGUUCGAUCUAAAUCUGCUUCCCCCUUCGGAAGAUGGUGAUGAUGAUGAUCUCGAUGCCACGGCUCUGUGCCUGUGAUGCGUUGCUGAAUGGUGCCUUUUUUCUGUGAUUUUCUUUUCUCGGAAAAGAAUAUAAAGAAAAAUGAGUAUUUGGGGUUCUGGAUUCUCUUCUUUGUUAGAUUAUAUGUAGAUUAGUGUUUGUACUCAACGAACUUCAACUUCAUGGGCUUCAAAUGUUGUCUGCCUUGUUGAAAACUUUGAUCAUAUUACAAAGCAAUUGAUCUGAUCUGAUUCUCUUAAUUUAUCUCUCCUUUUUCUCCCUCUUGUAUACAUCAAAAAAAUAAAAGCUCCAAUUUUCUUCUCAUUUCUUUCCUUUUGUCUGUGUAGAUUAUCAUAAAUUUCCUAAAUUUUAUCCUUUUCUUUUUUCCUUUGAAUUUUCAUAAUGGGAGUUGUCGAUUUAUCUGGGUUAUGGAGAAUUUUUUUGGUCCUUUUUCUUCUUUAACAUUUUGGCGUUUUCAAGAUGUAGGUGGAGGUGUUCAUUUUUGCCUUGUUUUGUUUUUUUUUUUUUUGGUGGUAGUAGGUGUUGAUAAACUUUCGGUUUUUUUUUUUUUUUUUCUGUAGGCUGGGCUUUUCGAGGAUAUGGGUCUUUGCUCAAUUUGGGGUUUUGGUGGAUUGUCAUUUUUCUUUUUUUAUAUAUAUUUUGAUUUUGAUAAUUGGGUCGGGAUUCAAUGUGAAAUACCAAUUGAUUGAUUGAAUUUUUAUGAGUAAAUGUUGUUGUUUGAAGUUUGUAUGAAGGAAAAAGAAGAAAAGGAUUGGGGGUAGGGGGGUUGGCGCGGCCGGGGGAGGGGGAGGGGGAGGGGGAGGGGGAUGGUAUUGUAUGGUGAGAGGGCACUAGCAUCAAAUGUUGAUAGGGUUUUUGAUAAGAACCAUUUAUUGGGCAUGUGAGUGUAGAUUCUUUUGCGUAUGGUGAGUAGAGUAGAGUUGGGUAUAUGCUUGUGUGAGUGAAUUGGGUUGUACCCCAAUCCCCACCAAGCCUAAUCUCCCAUUCCCAUUAUUUAUUUUUUAGAAAAGGUCUACCUUUCCUCAUGCAUUAUUCAAUUCAUCUAGUUUUAUUGCUGCCUUGGAUUCAUGUGAACUCACCACAUGCAUGUUGUGCUACUUUGCAGUUCAAAUAAUAUGGUGAAUGUGUAUUUGGCAACAUUUUCGAACCAAAAUAGUUUAAUUUUUUAAAAAACAGUUCUAUGAUUUUUUUGGAAUGCUUUUAAUUUUGUUUUUAUGUAUUUUGAAAUUUUUUUUAAUGAAUGUAUAUGAAAAAUGAUUAAAAAUAAAACACUAGAUGUAAAAGGAUAUUUCAAGAAUAUUAAAAACAAGUUAAAAAAUAUUUUAGGUUCUUAAAUGAAUUUUUAUUUUAUAAAACAUUUAAAAUUAAUUUUUAGAAAUGAUUUUUAAAAACUGUUUUAAAAAAUGGUAACCAAACAAUUUCCGAAUUGGAUUGAAUUCAAUUUCUUUUCAUGGAUUAUUUUUAUUAAUUUUUUCAAUUUGGGAAAUUGUAUCCUCCUCCUCCAACCUACUCUAUGGAGCUUUAUAUUAGAUAUGACCUGGUUGCUUCACAUAGGACUUAGGGCUGGCUCCAAUAGGUUCAGUUGUUUGAUUUCGGUUGUUAAAAGGACCCCAAAGUAGCAACCAGUUCUUAGCUAUAACUUCCCACCUACCAAGGUGUGAGAGCUGUUGGAGGGGACGUGACUCAUCUAUAUAAAGAACCCUUUUUCUUUUUUCUAUUUUAUUUUUAUUUUUAAUAAAUUUAUGUAAUUUUUUAAAUAAAAUUAAAGGUGUUUUUUCACUGGAUAAUAAGAAGUUGGUGAGUAUCUUCAAAUUAAAGCAAUAUUCAAAAAAUGAAACUAUUGUCAUAAAUCAAUCCCAAUCAAGCAUCCGUGACCAUCUGGCCUGUUCAGUUAUAUGAACCCAAAAUUCCAGUCCGGCGAAAUACUGGGCUACCCAAAAAGCUGUGGCCCAAGGCCCACUCUCUAACAAUCCAACGGACCACAGCGUUGGCUUCUUCCCAAAGCUGGAUGAACGAUCCAAAAUCAUUGCACAAGCAUUUUUAAGAGUACGCAAGGAUUUAACGUUUCUCCUUUCGGAGAAAUUUCUGUUUGGUUCCCUGGAAUCUUUGCUUGAUUUAGAAAACUCGAGAACCCUUUUGGAUCGACUCCACUGGGUCUCGAGUAAUAUGCAGUAUGCAGCGCCUGAGGAUUUCAGGGACCUCGCUUUUGGGUUCCUUUGCAGUGCCUCAUCUGAAGAAGAAGGCUAUGAACUCGUGGUCUGCUGUUCAAGACACUUAUCAUUCCACCAAGGUGCAUCAUUAUUAUUAUCUUUUAUUCCAUGUACUGUUUAAAUUAAUGCGGGUCAAUUAUUCUUUUAUGGUUUGAUUUGGACGUGUCUGCCUUUAGAGGGUUUUUAGAGGGUUUUGUGAUUGAUUUAAUAUAUUACAUGUGUGAUUUUGAUUUUGUUCAGGACACUUUUGAGAGGCAUAGGGUGGUAUUUGCGAUCGGAACAUCUAUAGCAUCAGUUGCCACAGCAUGGGCUGGUGAGUUCUGCUUGAAUUCAUCGUUUUUUUUUUGGUCAUUUCAUCUCUUUUGGUUAUGUUUGUCAAUGGUUUAAAUUAAUCUAUAUUCGAAAUUUAUGAUUUAAUGUGAUGUGGGCUCUUGGGAUAGAUACUAAUUAAAAUGAUAUCUUACUGAAAAUUCUCAUGAAAGUGUCAUAGGGACUUGGUGAUUUGUAGAAAUUAUGUUGUUGGUGUUGAGCCAAUUGAAAUCAGGUUCGUCUAGCUUUACUGGAGUCAGACGGACUUCUUCCUUUAUAGAUGGAUGUCUAGACAUGUGGUCCGGGCACGCCCCUCCGAAGCUUAAGUUAGAAAUCAAUGAGGAUAACUCUCACUAUUUUUUGUGGGAGAGAAUGAGCGUGUGUACGUUGUUCGUGCUUCUUAAGGGGUUUAUAUAGAGCUGAUGACACCGUCAUUAAAGCGCCGCCUCCUUUCUUGUAAUGAUGACUGCCCUUAGGGCGGAAAUCGAGCCUUGAUAGGACAGUCAACGUCGUCAUUGUUGGACUGAGCAAUCACAUCAAGUAAGGGCUACUGACUGGUGCCAUUUGUCGACUGUCGUGCCAAAAUCUCGGAUCGUGUAGUUGACUGUUCAUUUAGCUUGCCAAUGUUUGGGAUUGUGUGUAACAAUAGAGGGACAUUGACUUUUGGGUGUUAAUGACGCCUAAUUCGUUGUUUAGACGUCAGGCGUCUAGUCCGACGCUCAGACAUCAGGCGUGGUUAACCACGCAUGUCAGAAAUCCUAAGGACUGAACUGAAUUGAUUUGUCCGUCUGAAAUGUCUAAUCGGCUUGGUCUAUCCAUUCUGUUUGACAUUGUGAGCCUGUCUGAAAGGUCAUCCGACUUGGUCUGCUCAUUUCGUCUGACAUUGUGGAAGAAGGAAAACUUCACUUCUGGUGCUAGGCGGAGCUUAUUUUGGUCUAGGCGGAGUGAUCCCAAACAAGUUAUAUGUUUGCCCUGGUCGGCCAAAGGGUCUUGAGUAUGGGAAGGACGUGGAGGGAAGCUCCCACAAUGCCCCCUAAUUCGUCUGCCUUUAUUCGACAGGGUAGUUGUUGGGUUGAGGCAGGACAAAUUAUCCGUUUUCAAGUUUUUGGGCGCCAAGGGGCAAUUUUUGAGACAAUAGAAGUGGUAAGCCGUCUCCCCAUUUUCCGCUUACUUUGCCUUAGUCUCUCAUUUUAUAACGAUAUCUCUGUUACCCCCCAGGUGGUAACUGGAGUCCAAAACCUUAUGCGGCAGCGCGCUCACCUUUUCCACCGGUUGGAAGCAAUCGAGACCAUGAGGGCAUAUGUUGCCCAUAACGUGGAUGAGAAUGAGGAUCUCCUUGCCAACUUGGAGACAACGAAGAGUGAGGCUGCUGUUGCCUAGGAGCUAGCUGAAGAAGAGGUUGUCUGGCUGAGGCAGGAACUGCAAGAUUCCCGGGCAAGGUUUGAUUCUUUGUAUUUCUUUACUCUAGCCGGUUGAAGCAUUUUCUUCCAUACUUGUAAUAAGCAAUUUUAUUGAUAAUAUUGCUUUAGGUUGGUCACAUUCAAUGGGCGGAGUAGGGGUACUUUGUCUAGAGUCUAGAGGUGGUAUACCCUUGAGUGUCCUGCCUUAGUUACAACAUAUGACCCUUUCCAAUUACAUUGUAGCUUUCUGGCUCCUACUUCAGUUGUAUUCUUGAAGACUUUUCUAAGGACUAAAGAUCCUGGCCGGAAAAACCGUGGUCGUGCCCUUUUGUUGUACUGAGCAAUUGCCCUUUGAUGGUAUGAAGCUAUUCGGAUAGCCGCGUCUUCUCGCAAUUUGUCUGUCAAAUCCAAUUGUCUUAUGAGUUCUUCAUUAUUGUCCCUUUGGUCUUGCACGAUUGUUUUGACAGUAGGCAUACCAAUCUUAGUUGGAAUAAUGGCCUCCAUCCCAUAAGCAAGGGCGAAAGGAGUGGCCCCCGUUGGCCGUCUGGAUGUUGUUCGGUAAGCCCAUAAGACUCCGGGUAGAUCGUUCACCCACUUUCCUUUUGCCCCUUCCAACCUUUUCUUUAGUGCAUUCAAUAGAGUUUUGUUUGUUGCCUCCGUUUGUCCGUUGUUUUGUGGAUAGUGAGGUGUUGAGUAUAGGUUCUUAAUGUUUAACUCUGAGCAGAAUAUUCAGAAGACAAUACUGUCAAACUGUGGCCCAUUAUCUGUAACAAUCGCUUGCGGAACUCUGAAUUGGCAUACAAUGUUUUUCCAGACGAACUUGAAAACAUCUUUAUCUUUGAUGUUGGCAUAGGCUUCUGCCUCCACCCACUUGCUGAAAUAGUCGGUUGCAACCAGUAAAAACUUCUUUUGUGCUGCUGUAAUGGGCAAGGGCCCGACUAUGUCCAUCCCCCACUGUGCAAAUGACUAAGGAUUUGUGAUCGGGUUGAGAGCUUCAGAAGGUACACGGGGAAUGGGAGUGUGUCUUUGACGCCGAUCACACCUCUUAACAUAACUUUCAGCAUCUUGCUUCAUGGUGUGUCAAUAGUACCCUUGCGUGUAAGCGCAAUGUGUCAAAGUAUGUCCGCCUGGGUGAUUGUCACAUACGCCUUAAUGGAGUUCGGCCAUAAUAUAUUUGGCCCCUGGCUCGCUCAAACACUUUAGGUAUGAACCUCCAAAUGACCGUCUAUAUAGUUGGUCAUUAAUUAGAGUGAAGCGUGUUGCUUGUAUGUGGAGUUUGUGCGCUUGCUUCUCGUCUCUUGGUACCUCCCUUGUCUGAAGGUAUUUCAUGAUGUUAAGCAUCCAACCUGAGUCUGUGUGACUAGUGUUGCACACUGGCUCAGGUGUGAUUGAGGGGGCAACUUUGAGGUAAACGGGUAGCAUCACUGCCUCUUUUAUGGGAAGAGUGACAGUUAUUCCGGCUAGUGCAUCUGCUUUCUCGUUCUCUUCACGCGGCACCCGUCUAAUGACCCAAUAGUCCAACUUUUUUAGAUGGCUUUCCACCACGGCGAGGUAACGAGCCAUGCGUUCAUCAUUUGUUUCAUACUCUCGUUGAAUUUGUUCGACAAUUAGGUGAGAGUCACUCCUGAUUUCCAACUUGGUUCCUUCUAAUACUAGGGCAAGAUCUUGCUCGGCUAGGACAACUUCAUAUUCUGCUUCGUUAUUGGAGGCAGAAAAGCUGAGACGGAUAGCUUGCUCUAUUAGUUUCCCUGUUGGUGAUUAUAGGAUUAGGCCUAUUCCAGAUCCAGACACUCUAGACGCUCUAUCUACGUGAAGUGUCCACCAUUGCUCUCCAGGGCGAUUAGUCGAAUGUGCUUGUUUUUGAGGGAGUUCAGUUAUAACUUGUCCUUUCAACGAUAACCUUAGUUGAUACUUGAUUCCGUACUCAUUCAACUCGAUGACUCAUUUUAACAUUCAUUCGGAUAGAUCUGGUUUGUGCAGGGUAACUUGGAGUGGCUGAUUUGUAAGUACAAUCACUUGAUGAGCCUGGAAGUAUGGGCGGAGCUUUUAAGCGACAUUCUUUAAGGCUAGGGCCGUCUGCUCCAUUCUGGAGUACCGAGUCUCAACGUUUACCAUUGCUUUGCUCACAUAGUAGAUGAGCCUCUACUAUUUGUCUUGUAUGUGCUGAAACAGGACGACACUAACAACAUAGUUAGAUACAACCAAAUACAUAUAAAGUUGUUCGUCGGACUUGGGGCUGCUUAGAAUAGGUGGUUCAGUGAGGUAGCGUUAACUACUUCAAAUGCUUGCCUGCAUUCAUCCGUCUAGCCGAACAUGCUUGCUCCCCUGAGUGUGAGGAAGAAAGGUCUCAGCUUGUCUGUGAAACGGGCUACUGCUAGACGACCUGUGAGGCGUUGCAACUUCUUUUUGCUACUUGGGACGGGUGUUUCGAGGACAACUUUUAUUUGAGCCGGAUUAACUUCAAUUCUUCUUUGGGUCACCAUAAACCCUAGAAAUGUUUCUGCACUGACACCAAAUACGCACUUAGCUGGAUUGAACUUCAUGUUGUAUGCUCGCAUAAGACAUAAUGUUUCUUCCAGGUGCUGGACGUGCUCAGCUCAGGUUUUGCUUUUCAUAACAAUGUCGUCAAUGUAGACUUCCAUGGUUUGGCUGAUCAGGGGCUUGAAGAUUUUCGUUAUUAGUCUCUGAUAAGUAGCACCAGCAUUCCUAAGCCCGAACGACAUGACUUUGUAGUAGUACAACCCAUGUGGUGUAACAAAGGUUGUCUUCUCCUCAUCCGGCUGGAACAUAGGGAUCUAAUGAUAUUCGAAGAAGGUGUCCAGGAAGGAGAGCAUCCCAUGAUUGGCGAUGGAAUCGACUAUCUGAUAUAUCUAGGGUAAGAGAAAGCUAUCCUUUGGGCAGAUGUCAUUCAAGUUGGUGUAAUGAACACAAACUUGCCACUUCCCAUCCUUCUUUGGAACGAUCACCACGUUUGCCAACCAGUCCAGGUAUUUGACUUCUCUGAUAAAUCCGAUUGCCAAUAGUUUGUCAAUUUUUGUCUGGAUGAUUUUUAUCUUAUCCGGAUGAAAACGUCAGACUUUUUUCCGGACAGGAUGCGAGGAGGGAGUGACGUUAAGUUUGUGGGAGGCCUCAGAUGGAUGAAUUCCCGACAUAUUUGAGUGAGUCUAGGCGAAGAUGUCCUUGUUUCGCUGAAGCACACUUCCUAGUAGUUCCAAUUCAUCCUGUGUAAGUAGAGAGUUGGUAGAAGUGAUUUGAUAUGUGCCAUGUGAGAGACACAGUGGCUGGAGUGGAUCAGCUGUAGAUGGAUCUUUCUCUACCGGGCUCAGUAAUUGCUAUUGCUCCCUUAUAUUUGAUGAUUCCAAAUGUGCCUCAUCGCCGACUGGAUGUCUGGAGUCUAGCGCCACUUGAUAGCAUUGGCGUGCGAGUAGCUGGCUGCUAAGGAGAUCAACUUGUUCCUCCUCCAUGAGGUAGCUCACCAUCUGAUGGUACGUAGAGGGAACGACUUUCAUUAUGUGAAGCCAUGCACGUCCCAUAAUGGCAUUGUAUGAGGACAAAUCGUCGACCACUGAGAAUUGAACGUUCAGGGUGAUUGGGCCAGCUUGGACGGGUAGUACAACGUCACUUAGAGAAGGCUUCGUAGCUCCAUUGAAUCCGGACAACAAAUGCCUUGGGUUCUCUUGGGCGGAUGGUGAGUAGUCCAUCUGCUUUUAGACUGACAUUUGCAAGAGGUCAGUUGAGCUACCGGGAUCAACUAGAACCCUUCUCACGUCGAAUCCGCCUACCCUUAGUGUUAGGACUAGGGCAUUUUCAUGCGGUUGCAAUAUUCGGUUAGCGCCUACUGGAGGGAAGGUAAUUGUGCCGUCAAUGGGGCGCACACUCCCUUCCGAAAAGUUGUGCUGAAUGGAAUUAACCCACUCUCUUACAGAGGCUGCAUGGAGCAACCUUCGCCUUUGCCACUUAGAACUGUCUAUCGUCUACGAAGCCUCCGUGUAUGUAGUUGAUGACAGCUCUGGGAGUUGCUGGAGAUGCAGGGUCUUGGAUGGCUAGCUCUUGCGCCGUCUUUUUUUGCCCACCGGUUGUGUGGACAUAGUAUUUUAGGUGCCCUACUUUGAUUAGUUUCUCUACCAAGUAAUGGAGACUCUUGCAUUGCUCUGUGGUAUGGCCGUGAUCCUUAUGAAAGGAGCACCUUCUGUUUCGAUCCCGUCUAGCUGGAUCUGUCUUGAUCGGCUCUAGCCAUUUGAAGUUGACAGAUUGCGGAUCGUCGAGAGGAGUCUCUCAUGUGAUAUAUUGAGAGGGGCCAGUCUCGCUUGAUUCUGUUGCUGUUGGCCAGCCCGCCUUUUGCUAGCUUGCCUCGAUUGGUUCGAGGGCUUAGAACUUCAUGCCUCGUCGUCCUUGGUCGGACGAUUGGUGACCAAGACCUGUUGAGUAGCUGACAGGACAUCAUCUUCAAGUACGGGGUAUUUGUCUGCUAGCUUAAAUAGGUUAUCCAUCGUUGCAGGCGACUUCUUUGCGAGAGACUAAAAAAAUGGCGUGCCCGGGCCGAUGCUUCGCUUAAAGAUCUGCAGGAUGACAUUCAUACUACAGGACUCCACUUGGAGCACGACUUGCCCGAUCCGCUUCAUGAAGUCUCUGAGCGACUCGUUUUCCUGCAGCUUGAUGUUCUGCAGGGUGCUUAUGUUCUGCUUAUGGCGAACGAAACAUGAGUAGUGGCCCACAAAGGCUUCCGAUAUAUCUCGGAAAGUGUUCACGGAAUUCUGCGAGAGACGGUGGAACCAAGAAAAAGCUUGGCCGUAUAGGCUGGCCGAAAAGACUUUGCAUAAUAGUGCAUCAUUCCUUAUAUUGCGGGUCAUGAACUGCUUGAAGUGCAUGAUGUGAUCGAACGAAUUGCUUGUUGCGUCGUAUGUCGUGAAUUUUGGCAUUAUGAACCUCCUAGACAACUCAUAAUUAAUAAUAUGAGGGUCGAACGGCAUGGAGAGCAUGUCAUCCAGCCGUCGACUGACAAAGCCGAGCGGAGCUCGGAUAGCCAGGGCCACAACUAGCUGCUACCUUGGCGGCUAAGAGGGCCAUUCCGACAUAACUACUGCAGAUGGGGGACCUAGACGAGCCUUUGGGGUUUCUGAUAUGCAUGGUUGCUUCUCCAUUCCUGGUGCUUGAGGUCCCAAUCGAGCUCACAUCGCAUCUGACAAAUGCGACCUUCUGCCAUGCCUACUCUUCAUUGAUGUCCGGGUAGAGUCGGCGCCUUCGUUCAGUUGCGUUUGGCGAGUUGGCGAAACCUCCUCUUCAGAUCGUCUCGUGUAGUUGUCAGAGGAGAACUCUGUGUUCUCAGGGAAAGAUGCCUCAUCAGUCCGUCUUGCUGCUGUUUGUUGGAUUUGAGGGUGCCGACUUUGAGAGGGGCCCGAUUGACAUUUGUGCCGACAACUCUUCAUUCUCUUGUUUGAGUUGCUUUGUUUGGCGGAGCAAAAACUAUAUUUGCCGAUCAUUUUCUCGUUGGCAUCUCACCAUCCUUUCACACCAGGCAUAGUAGUCUUCGCCACCCAUAGUUGAUGAUCGACUUUUAGAGGGUGUUGACAGCCUUAGUCAUUCCCACAGACAGCGCCAAUGUUGGUGUCGAGCCAAUUGGAAUCAGGUCUGUCUAGCUUCGCUGGAGUCGAGCAGACUUCUUCCCUGCACAGAAGGAUGUCUGGACAAGUGGUUCGAGCACGCUCCUCCGAAGCUUAAGUUAGAAAUCAAUGAGGAUAACUCUCACUAUUUUUUGUGGGAGAGAAUAGCGUGUAUACCUUGUUCGUGCUUUUUGAGGGGUUUAUAUAGAGCUGAUGGCAUCGUCAUUAAAGUGCCGCCUCCUUUCUUGUAAUGAUGACUGCCCUUAGGGCGGAAAUCGAGUCUUGAUAGGACAGUCAAUGCCGUCACUACUGGACUGGACAAUCACAUCAAGUAAGGGCUAUUGAUUGGUGCCAUUUGCCGACUGUCGUGCCAAAAUCUCGAACUGUGUAGCUGACUGUCGAUUAAGCUUGCCAAUGUCUGGGAUUGUAUGUAACAAUUGAGUGACAUUGACUUUUGAGUGUAAAUGGCGUCUAGUCCGCAGUUCAGACAUCAAGCAUCUAGUCUGGCGCUCAGACAUCAGGCAUGGUUAACCGCGUAUGUAAAAAAUCCUGAGGAUUGGAUUGGAUUUAUUUGCUCGUCUAAAAGGUCCAACCGACUUGGUCUGUCCAUUCUGUCUGACAUCGUGAGCCCGUUUGAAAGGUCAACUGACUUGGUCUGCUCAUUCCGUUUGACAUUGUGGAAGAAGGAAAACUUCUCACUUCUGGUGCUAGACGGAGCUUAUCUUGGUCCAGACGGAGUGAUCGCAGACGAGUUAUAUGUUUGCCCUGGUCAGCCAAAGGGUCUUGAGUCUGGGAAGGACACAUGGAGGGAAGCCCCCCACAUGUGACAAUGUUCUCUGCAACUGCCAUAAAUACACGAUAAUGUGCUUGGUAUUUAACUAUAUUGUUUUGGGUUUCAUUCAAAAGAAAAUGAAUCAUGGAAGGUGAGACUUGGGGAGAUUAACCAUGUGUUCUUGAGAGUGGUCAUUGCGUCUGUUUAGAAGUGAUCUGUGGAAUGCCUUUCUGAAGCCAGAUGUAGGCUUUCUCGAGGACCCCAUGUUUGGUAAUAAGCCCUUGAAAAUGCCGAUGGUUCAAAUGACAAUUUGAGCAAUGGUAUAUAUAUAUUUGUUGCGCAAACACUAUAGCUUCGGAGUGGAUUGCUCAUUAAAUUCUGUUUAAUCCAUGUGAACAUGGGAUCAAAUUUUCUUUGGAGAGUGGCUGAAUUUUUCCAGGACAUGGGUUUAUUGAAAGGGUUUUUAAAUUCUAUGCUUUUUUAGAACUCAAAUGGACUUUUCCCCUUUCAGUUUAACUCGCCUUCUCAUGGUCAGGAUAAUUUUGUGUAUCCAGAGCAUUAAACUAUUGGGGUGGCUACAAAUUUUAUUUCUCUGCAUUCUUAUCUAUUUUGAGUGUAGAUUUCUUGUUAAAUCAUGUCCCAGUUCUCCUUUCACCACAACCUCGUUAAUUUUCCUUCUUCAGCUUACCCUAUUCUUGUAGACCUUUAAAUAUAGGCCAUAUUGUUCAUGUCUGUUGUAGUCAAGAGCCAAAAUGCCUCUUUUCACUACUAGUAGUUUUCUUGUGAUUUAAAUUUCUGCUGACCUUGAUGAAACGAUUUCCCUUAUCAAAUUCUUGAAAUUUAACUGAAGGCAUAUUUCGAAACCAUGUAUGAUAAAGCCUAAAAUUCAAUUGAAAAAAAAGAGAACCUGAUUUGUGAUUAAUGAUAUAGCUCUUUACUUAAUUUUGUGCCUUUUGUUGCAAUAUCAUGUUGAACUUGGUUUUUAUGUGAUAUUUUUUCUUGCAUCCCUGAAUCAAUCAUCCAUUCUUCCCCAAAAUUCUAUAGCAUAUCUAAUAAUGCACUUCUAGGAAAAAAUGUGUCUGUUGAACUUGCGCUUAUGUGUUUAAUGUUGUGAUAGAUGGCUUUUUGAUUUGAUAGAAAGAGAGCCUAGAUUUAAGCUAUUUGCAACUACUCUGGCCACUAAAUGAGAAUAUGGUAUCUACCAAAUGAUCCUAUAAAGGUGGGGACCCUAUAGAAAAGGAGUUUUGAAAAAUAAAUAUGAGGUUUGGUUAUACCUCUCAUAAUUCAAAUAGUCCACGUGAGAACAAAUCAAAUAAUAUUUGGAGAACUAAUUCACUUUUCAGUUUGGGUUGAAAGUGCCUAACAUGAAACAAUCUAAACUGAUGUAUAAUGGGUUUUUAGUGGAGAAAAAAAUGGAAACCCAUGCAUUGUUCAAGCAUUUUGCAAAGUGUUUGUGUAAAUGCUUUUAAGAGGUAGUGUUUGCUCAUUGAUUUAUUUCUCUUGACUGCUUCAACUAAGGCUUAGGAUGGAACUUUUAACCAUAUUCAUUAAUGAUGGUGCAGGUUAUUCUAUCCGUUAUCUUCAUCAGGAAAAAGUUGAUAAAAGGCUUGCCGCAAUUGAAGAUUCUGUAAGUACUUGCUGCAUAAUAUUCUCAUACACGAAAUACUGCUUGGUUUUGUUCUAAUCAUAAUGCUUUGUUAUCAAUCCAACUUAAAUGUAUAGAAUGACAGGUCUAUCAAAAAAAAAAUGCGUAGAAUGACAGUGGUGGUUAAGAAUCUGUUAAGUUGGUACUUAUCAAAAAAAAAAAAAAAGAGAAUCUGUUAAGUUAGAUUCAUUGGUCAUUAAUGGAGCCCAUAUGGGCUUCGGAAAUUUUUUGCCACCAUUAUUUAUUUUUUUCUUCAGUUAACUCCUGCAUUUUUUUUAACUAUUUCAUUGACAUUUUGCUCAAGUUGGCUAUAUACGUGAAAAAACAUUUAUUUUCUUUAUUUUUUUUUCAAUUAUGUUUUGGAUCAUUCGGCAAACCCUAAGUUAAAAGGCCUAUUCUCUAUAACUCAAUGUCCAUUUCAGGGUUACAUAAUCACUCUAUGGCUGAGUCUUGCUACUAAUGAUACCCUGAAUUUACUUGGUGCUGGUUGUUGCGGGGGGGUCAACACUCCAAGGUUUGGGUCCCCAUGGAAAGUCAUAAGAGUUUGGCCAUGAAAGGUUCCUUGGUUAUAAUAAUAAUAAUAAAAAAAAAAAAAAAUCACUCCAUGGCAUCAACUGUUUCAAAAGUAGUGGUUGAGAAAAGUGGAUUUUGUUUUGUUCCUUCACUUGCAUAAAUGUUAUGUCGUUUAUAAGAUUUUUGGUCUAUUUUAAAAAAAAGACAGUUUUAAAAUUAUUCUAGCAUGUAUCUUAAAGGUGACCUUGGAACUAUGUUGAAAGUGAGAUGUGUCUACUUUUCCUGGAAAUAAAGCUUAUCCACAUUGAAUGGUAGGAUUUCUACUUAUGAUUGUCAUGAGUUUAUAAUGUCAUACUUCAUAGCUAGCUAAUAUUUUUAAUUCUCUUUAGGACUGCUGUUUAUGAUCCUGAACGUUAAUUUUAAGUUCUAUCCUGGAAACUAUUUUCCACCCUUUACCAUCUCCUGCUUGCUCCUUCAGUGUUUUUGUUUUUCAGGUCUGAGACAUUUUUUUAUUUGUUUUGUGUUAGAUGAAAAGCAAUUAUCAUUUGGAACAUACUGAACUUAAGAAGAUUUACGAUUCUGGAAAUUCCAGGAAUGCAGCUUGUAUUGCUACUGCUGGAGUCACUUUAAUUAUUGGGUAUGUUUCUUAAUGUUUAUUUCAUAUGAAAGCAUUAUUGUUUUGGCUUUUUCAGUUGAGAAAGUUGGAGCUCUGUUCUUUGUAGGAGAUUUUUUCUCUUCAUAAAUUAUACUGAGCAUGGUCGUAAGCAUUUUGAACAUUGCUGACAGAUUUGCCUUUUUGGACUUAUUAUCCCCCUAUUUUCCUUUUUGAUCAGACUUUUUAUAGAGGAUUGUGUAUUUAUCUGAAGGAUUUCUCAUCAUUCUUUAUAUUUAUUAUUUCAAUGCAAUGAAGUGGUUGUUUAUGAUAAAAUUAAAAAAAAAGAAGAAGAAAAUUAGUUGGAAAUCUUUGCCUUUUUAUUUUUUGGGUUAAAGAAAUUCAUUGAAUGUUGCUUAUGGUAUAAAAGAGUCACUGCUGGUCGAAAUGAAAUUAUUUUAACAAUUCCGAAAGUGGGGUGCUUUCAGAAAUAAAAUUCGUUCUCUUUCAGAGCUUUGGGCUGGUGAACAAUCUCCAAAUCCUACUUGCACUCCACCAUUCCUCCAAACCACCUAAUGCAAUAAGUGAAGCUUAUUGCAUGUAACUCUACCGAUAUUCUCUUCUGUUUACUGUUUCAUUUUCUAAUAGGAAUUUGGCCCAAAAAAGGCAAGCUUGGGAAAUGUAAACCACUUUCAAUGAGAACACCAGAAAGUAGCUUCCUCGCAAGCUCCAGAAAAGUUUUAACUGGGUCUAUACUGUGGUAAAAUCUUGCACCAAUAGGACCGCAAAACAUUUAUUUGAGCAUUCAUAAGGAUUGAAAAUUGAAAUAAUUUAUCCUUUGAAUCAGGAUGUGGUUGAGGGAAGUUCACUCAUAUAUGCUUUAUAUGAUUAUCAUCAUAUGAUUAAUGCUGCACAUCCUGCUGAUGUCUUGAUAUUUUCUACUAGAUACAGAUAAGCAUCUGUCCACCAAAUAGGGUAAUGACAUGUAAAAAGAAGGUGGUAUAGCUGACAGGUGGGACACCUAGAUAGGCAUGUUUACAUCCUUUUUUAGGUUCAGUCUGUAAAUUUCUAAUGCAAUUAACAGAAUGAAAUGUGGGAAAGCAACAAAAAACUUAUAGCAUUUUCCUUUUUCUUGACCUUGCUUCGUGGUUGUUUUACUGUUUUUCCUUUUUCUUGACCUUGCUUCUUGGUUGUUUUACUGUUUAACUCCCUACUCCUAAUUGCGAAAACUGAUUUUUCCUAUUAAAAUCGUUAUUUUUAUCUUUUCACUCUCUUUAUCUUUUUGCUGGAUUGCAGAUAUGGGUUGGGCUGGCGAGGUGGAAGAUGGUAUGCAAAUAGGAAGUUCAGAAGGGAGCAAAUGAAAUUGCUAGGGCAGAUAAAACCCAAAAGGACGCCACUCCAGUUCCUUAGAAGACUAAGAAGACAGAAGGCGCCGGAGACCGCACCCAAAACAUCUCCAACCUUGCAAAAGGAUGCUCCCUACAAGAAUGAUUCUUUACAAACCCGCCAACAGCAGUUGCUGUAGUUACUUAUUAAGCAUAUCAGAUGAAAAAUGCUAUCAUAUAGUUUCAUACUCAUUGAAGACUGUUUCUGUACAAAGCAUAAAAUGGAUUAGUUUAUUCCUCCCUCCCCCAAGCUCUCUAUCAUUCUUUUUUUUUUCCGGGGACAAUUUUUUUGGUUCCUUGUCCCUUGUUGCCAGUCUGGGGAUGAGUGCAAUAUAAUAAUCUUUUGUUUCCUAACAGUGGAAAAUU
rnacentral:lncRNA from 1 species